rnacentral:rRNA from 1 species
UACGUAGGGUGCGAGCGUUGUCCGGAAUUAUUGGGCGUAAAGAGCUCGUAGGCGGCCUGUCGCGUCGGAUGUGAAAGCCCGGGGCUUAACCCCGGGUCUGCAUUCGAUACGGGCAGGCUAGAGUGUGGUAGGGGAGAUCGGAAUUCCUGGUGUAGCGGUGAAAUGCGCAGAUAUCGGGAGGAACACCGGUGGCGAAGGCGGUUCUCUGGGCCUGACCUGACGCUGAGGAGCGAAAGCGUGGGGAGCGAACAGG